rnacentral:rRNA from 1 species
GCUGGACUACGCCUUACUGCAAGGGGCUCCGUCACAACCUGUACUUACCGCAUGGACACGGACGGUCGCACACACUUAAACUCGGUUGGGUGGAAGAAAUUCCUCGAUGGCAAGAAUCUUCGUGUUGGACAGGCCAUUCUAAUUACUAUCAGGAACACCAACCGCCCAGGCUUGAGGACGAUGAUUGUCUUCGAUAUCAUCUAGAACUACAUAUGUGUGUGUGGCUAUAUCAUCUAGAACUACAUAUGUGUGUGUG